AUUGAACGCUGGCGGCAUGCUUUACACAUGCAAGUCGAACGGCAGCGCGGGCUUCGGACUGGCGGCGAGUGGCGAACGGGUGAGUAAUACAUCGGAACGUGCCCAGGAGUGGGGGAUAGAGCGGGGGAAGCCGGAUUAAUAACGCAUACGAAAUGAGGGUGAAAGCGGGGGAUCUUAGGACCUUGCGCUAUUGGAGCAGCCGAUGGCAGAUUAGCUAGUUGGUGGGGUAAAGGCCUACCAAGGCGACGAUCUGUAGCUGGUCUGAGAGGACGACCAGCCACACUGGGGCUGAGACACGCCCCAGACUCCUACAGGAGCCAGCAGUGCGGAAUUUUGGACAAUGGGCGAAAGCCUGAUCCAGCAAUGCCGCGUGUGUGAUGAAUGCCUUCGGUUUUUAAGGCACUUUUGGCUGUAACGAAAAUGACUGUGCCAAUACCACGGUUUGAUGACGGUACCCGCAGAAUAAGCACCGGCUAACUACGUG
rnacentral:rRNA from 1 species